rnacentral:rRNA from 1 species
UGAAUACGAGACGCUAAGGCGUCGAAGUAGUGUAUGUCAUACUUCCAAGAAAAGCUUGCACUGUCAUAGAUAAAAAACGCCUGUACCAUAACCGACACAGGUGGGUAGGUAGAGUAUGCUAAGGGGCGCGAGAUAACUCUCUCUAAGGAACUCGGCAAAAUAACUCCGUAACUUCGGGAGAAGGAGUGCCUUAUUCGUAAGGUUGCAAUAACAAGAUCCAAGCAACUGUUUAUCAAAAACACAGGUCUCCGCUAAGUCGUAAGACGAUGUAUGGGGGCUGACGCCUGCCCAGUGCCAGAAGGUUAAAGAAGUUGGUUAGCAAUUGCGAAGCUGAUAACUGAAGCCCUGGUGAACGGCGGCCGUAACAAUAACGGUCCUAAGGUAGCGAAAUUCCUUGUCGGGUAAGUUCCGACCCGCACGAAAGGCGUAAUGAUUUGGAUACUGUCUCGGAGAGGGGCUCGGUGAAAUAGACUUGUCUGUGAAGAUGCGGACUACCUGCACCAGGACAGAAAGACCCUAUGAAGCUUACUGUAACUUGAAAUUGAAAUUGGACUUUAUUCGCGCAGUAUAGGUGGGAGGCGUUGAUUAUAAUCUUGUGGGAUUAUUGGAGCCAUCAGUGAGAUACCACUCUUGUAAUGUUAGAUUUCUAACUUUGAAUCAUUAUCUGGUCAAAGAACAGUUUCAGGCGGGCAGUUUGACUGGGGCGGUCGCCUCCUAAACGGUAACGGAGGCGUACAAAGGUUUCCUCUGAACGGUUAGAAAUCGUAUCUAGAGUGUAAAGGCAUAAGGAAGCUUGACUGUGAGACCUACAAGUCGAGCAGGGACGAAAGUCGGUCUUAGUGAUCUGACGGUACUGAGUGGAAAGGCCGUCACUCAACGGAUAAAAGUUACUCUAAGGAUAACAGGCUGAUCUCCCCCAAGAGUUCACAUCGACGGGGAGGUUUGGCACCUUGAUGUCGGCUCAUCGCAUCCUGGGGCGGUAGUACGUCCCAAGGGUUGGGCUGUUCGCCCAUGAAAGCGGUACGCGAGCUGGGUUCAGAACGUCGUGAGACAGUUCGGUCCAUAUCCGGUGUAGGCGUUAGAAUAUUGAGAGGAGCCUUCUUUAGUACGAGAGGACCGAGAAGGACAUACCUCUGGUGUACCAGUUAUCGUGCCAACGGUAAACGCUGGGUAGCUAUGUAUGGAGUGGAUAACCGCUGAAAGCAUCUAAGUGGGAAGCCCACCUCAAGAUAAGUAUUC